GGAGAAAAUAGAAAGAGAGUAAAAUAUUCAAUCUUGUUUGGUUAGGGAGUAAAGGGUAGAUGAGGGUGAGGGACUUACUAGAAAUUAAGAAAAAAAUGUUUAACUUUGAAAUUAAGAAAGAAAAGGUUAAAAUUGAGAAGUCAAGACAACUUUAUAAAUUAUUACUCCUUCAACCUUUACCCCUUGAUUAGGGGGUUAACAUAUUGGAGCAUAAUGGAGGUUCAUGAGCACCCUUCAAUUGCCUUCCCCCUUAAAAAGGGGAAAAAAAGGUUCUUAAAUAGGGAGAUAUAUUCCCCGCCUUUUGUGCUGCAUAGCUUUUUUUUUUUACAAAUCUGCUUUUGUUCUGCUGCAAGUCUUAAGGAGAUUAAUACAAUAUGAUGUCUGGAAGGAAUUUUAUGAACUUGAUUUGGCUUAGGUGAAUCUAGGCUGCUAAUCAAUAGUGUUCCUAAUUUAUUUAUCUGGUUACCCAAAUAAGUUCGAUGUAGGACAGGUUAAACAACCAGCCUACAAAUGCUUUUAUGUUGGCAAAUUACAAGCAAUUAAUAAGAUUUAUGGUCAAGAUAUAAAAAGAGAAAUUUUUGAGAAAAUGGAGGCUUUUUUGAAGUGAUGAUCAGUAUCCAAUAUACUGUUGCAGCAGAUAGAGAGAGAGAGAGAGAGA
rnacentral:misc_RNA from 1 species